rnacentral:rRNA from 1 species
CCUACGGGAGGCAGCAGUAGGGAAUAUUGCUCAAUGGGGGAAACCCUGAUGCAGCAACGCCGCGUGAGGGAUGAAGUUUUUCGGUUUGUAAACUCCUUUCAUUAGGGAAGAUAAUGACGGUAUCUAACGAAUAAGCCCCGGCUAACUCCGUGCCAGCAGCCGCGGUAAUACGUAGGGUGCAAGCGUUACCCGGAUUCACUGGGCGUAAAGGGCGCGUAGGCGGUAUAGCAAGCCAGAUGUGAAAUCCUAUGGCUUAACCAUGGAACUGCAUUUGAAACUGUAAGGCUAGAGUGUGGGAGAGGCAGGUGGAAUUCCUGGUGUAGGGGUAAAAUGCGUAGAGAUCAAGAGGAAUACUCGUUGCGAAGGCGACCUGCUAGACGAUAACUGACGUUGAGGCGCGAAAGCGUGGGGAGCAAACAGGAUUAGAUACCCUGGUAGUC